AUUAUGACUUAGCUAUCUCAUUAUUAUGAGAUAGUAUCUCAUUAUUAUGACUUAGUAUCUCAUAAUAAUGAGAAAGCAUCUCAUUAUUAUGAGAUACUAUCUCAUUAUUAUGAGAUAGUAUCUCAUAAUUAUGACUUAGCUAUCUCAUAUUUAUGACUUAGUAUCUCAUAAUAAUGAGAUAAAUUCUGCUGGCCUCCACGGACUUCCGUUUUUGCACUUCCGUAUUUUUCAAACUAAAGCAGCAGCGCAGCACACAACUUCGUUCGCGCUGAGUGGUCAGAAUGGCUAUUUGUACGCGUUUGCUGCUAGACCUCCCAAGAAUAAUGGUUAACGAUGUACACCGAAUCUUUCUUGCCUCGUCCGAAAUGCCAAAAUCUAGUAUGGACAAAGCUUGUAUUGUAUGUGCCCGGCUACAUACACAGCUAUGAAGGUAAGCUAACAAACUUCUGCUGUGAGUUACUAAAGAUGCUACACGCUAGCUCUCCACUAGCCUAAGUUAACACAAUAAGGAAACGUUAUUGGAGCGAUAAGUAAGGUCAUGCGUGUUUUUCGUGUCUGAAAUUUAAAAAAAAAAACAGUUUUUAUGUUAUUCUCAGUUUUAAUCAUGCAGUCAGGAGAGGUCACGGUUAGGUCCGAGUGUUUCAGGUCAAUGUGGAAAAACCAGAAGCCCCACCGUCUGAGUGUAGGGAAACGUUUCCCUGCAGGUUCAGUGCAGGAUUGAUUCAGGUUCAAAAGAAGACUGUUCAUGUUUUUAAACGUCACAUUUUUGCGAGUCAUAUCAUUGCUUUUAGUUUGAUAACAGGUUAAUGACAUGCCUGAACUACGUGUGUCAUGUGGUAUCAGAGAUAAAAUGUGUCCCAGAAAGAAUAUAGUAAGUAAAGUUUGUAUAAAUAGCAUGUCACAGAAAGUCAAACAUUAGAUGACUCGCAGAAGCACAACAUUGUUUACAGUUAUUUUAUUUUUGUCCACUACUUGUUCUACUCUUCUAUUUUAAAAUGAGUUAAGUGAAGUUAAUCAUCAAUGUUUGUCUCUCCUUAAAUGCAGUUGUACUCUAACAAAUAUUCUGUGUUGUAACAGAUUGUGCUAAGGGAUUCAAAGCCGGUGGGGGUGCCAGUGUAUGUGUGGCAGGUGCAGCCUUGUGAUGUCAUGUGGCAGCUCAACUCUACCAGACGGCACAUUUCUCCUAGCUGAAACUUACAUCGGUCCCCCCCCCCCCCCCCCCCCCCACACACACACACACACAGUGUUCAGCUGCACAGAAACUGAACAACAGUGGCACAAAACGGGGACCAAGGUUACAAUCUUUUAAUGAUACUAUUAUUAUGUGUAUACAUAUUUCUGUUAUAACAUUUAAACUUGUUUUUAUUUGGAAACAAGGUAUUAAACCAGGUCCAGUUAAUGACAUGGUCAUCAUAUCAGCCAGACAAAGAGAGAAGAGACCGGUAGAAUGAACAAGAAGCAGUUUGUAAAAAGGAGUCAGCUUCCCCGAUGACAGCUUCAUUCUGAAGGUGCAGGAGGCGUACCACAGACUUGGUGCAGAUGAGGCUCCGGUGAUGACAACCAUGGCUGUCUCUGGUGAUGUACCUCUGGUUGGGUCCACGUUUGGUUCGGUGCAGGAGGGAAGCGGGCCAUCUUACCAACUACCAGUGAGGACGGCCCCCAGGACGCGUCCACACAAAGACAACCCUUCUCUCCCACAACUGUCUCUCUCUCAUUAUAGACUGGGACCCUCUGCAUGUGCAUUUGUGUUUACUGAACAUCAUCAUUUCACAUCCCUCACAACAUCAUUGGGGAAAUCAUACAAAGCUGAGAACAGAACACAAUCGCAGAGUUUCUGUGUGGAGGGGCACCAACUAAGGAGAUGCCACAUCACUUCUACAAAAUUUAGAUAAGUGUGUCACACCAGGGCAGAAGGUUCUGCUGAGAACCUUGUGAAACAGCCUAUGUGAACAAGUAGUCAGACUGAUGACAAAUGUUGGGGUCUUGCUUUGGAGCCUACAGCCAUCAAGGAGUACUGCAAGGUAAUAGAGGUAAACCACUACCCUUGUGGGGUCCUGAUCCACCUUGAGGCACCAUGGAUGGGUUCAACACCAGAUGGGAUUACCGUAAAUCCUCUAAUACAGGCCCGGGCCUCUAUUUGACUCAAGCUCAUCAAGCUCCAGGCCUUUAUUGGAAGGAGGGCCAGUAUUAGAGGCAGGCCUCUAUUUCCAUUUGAGCAAAAUGAACUAAUGUUCCUUGGGAGUUUUUGACAAUUAAAAUUGCGCCCACAUUUUCAAAGUUAAACACAUUUCUUUUAACAACGGUAGUUUCUGCUUCAGCCAUCUCCCCCCUCCCCCUGCUUUAGCCCUCUCCCCCCUCCCCCUGCUUUAGCCCUCUCCCCCCUCCCCCUGCGCAGCGGCCACAAACUCACUGAUGCGCCUGCAGCCUCUCAGAGUUCCUGCUGCUCUAAACAUUAAAAUAAUUAUUUCAUUUUCUGUUCCUCACUUCUGAUUACCUUCAAUGGUGGCUGUUUGUUGCAACAGCAGGUACAAAAACUAACUUGUUUUUAUUUGACUAUUUUUCUGUCCUGUCUGUUUAUUAUCUUCCUGCAUCUCCUCUCAAUCCUAAAGAAAAACUGCUGCCUGGGUUCAUAUAUAUUCACCUCAUGAGUUACCUUUGAACUGCAGUUCUAAAAGAUCUACCGACCGCAAAAACAGCGGAGCGCUCGCUGUUUGUCGGCCGUAUCAGUGAUCUGUGCGUCGGAGGACAAGGUGAUGCGCGCAGCGCCCCGCUCCACAGCAGCGAUACACAUCAGGCGCAAAUAAAAGACAGAAAACAUUAAAGGAAAUGAACCAACAUGAACGAUCGCGUGUCAGUACCUACGGUCUGGUACAGCGCGUUGCCCCCACCCCCGAGCGCAGGAGCUUGUCACCUGCUGACAGCAGACUGCUGUCUUUUCCGAGGGCUGCAUCUUGCCGGUCAUUAUCACGUGACAGCGACUAGUCGACGACAGGCAUAAAAAGUCACUAUAGUGAAGUCGACUAGUUCAUACACCCCCUACUGCUGCUCUCCAGAGUGUUCUACAGCAUAAUCAGCACGUUCUCUUUGAACUUGAUAGUGUAAUGACCUGGCUGGGGUUGUAAGCCAGGUGCAUUCUGGGUAUUGUGUUAUAUGUGUUUCCUAUCGUUCUGCUAGUUCCUAUGUGCUGAUUUGUGUGUUGUGUGAGUGUUAUGUAAGCCACAGGGAAGGUGAUGUGUGUUCUGUGGAGCGGGUUGAAUUAGCAUGGUUAACUGACACCGUGACUCUGUGUGGUAGGAGCGUGAUAGAGGAUCGUGUCUGUAGCGUUACAAAGCAUUGAAGAAAAAGCCUAAUAAAGGUCUGCUUGAACCUCUACUGCCUCCUGCUGGUUGAUUUGGGGACUAUAACCCUGCCGCUGGGACGCUCGUACUUGCUUACUACAUUCCACCCAUACUUGCUUGUUACUACAUUCCGCCCGGCCACAAUAAGAGACCGGCCAAUAUUUACCUCAACUGACUUUGACACCGACUUUGACACCGGCCACAAUUGGAGACCCGGCCUUUAAUUGACAAUUGGAGACCCGGCCUUUAAUUGAAUACCGGCCUGUAUUGGAGGAUUUACGGUAUGUAUGAUCCUGAGGGCAGCCUGAGUGUGGCCUGCUGGAAAUAAAAUGCCUAAAUGUGUGUAGCUUUGUGGAUUAUUAUGCUCAGAAAAGGUUUACUCUCUGUGGCGAUCUCAUCCUCAUUACUGGCAGGUCGGUGUUGACUGUUGAUUUCUCCAUGUGAGUGGUGUGACUUUGUUGUUUACACCACAGAUGACAUGUUUAUUCAGCGAGUUCCCCGUGACAUGGAAGUCAUACAGACACUAUUGUAAUGUUUUCAUUGCUGUUUAAAUGUAAAGACUUACUGUGGGGGAAAUUCAAUGUAAAUCUGCAGUAAAAUUAAAUAGUUCUGCACUUU